GAUGAACGCUAGCUACAGGCUUAACACAUGCAAGUCGCGGGGCAGCAUGGGGGUUGCUUGCAAUCCCCGAUGGCGACCGGCGCACGGGUGAGUAACGCGUAUCCAACCUGCCCUUCACCACGGGAUAACCCGGCGAAAGUCGGACUAAUACCGUAUGUUGUCCAUUGACGGCAUCCGAUUUGGACGAAAGGUUUGGCGGUGAGGGAUGGGGAUGCGUCCGAUUAGCUGGACGGCGGGGUGACGGCCCACCGUGGCGACGAUCGGUAGGGGUUCUGAGAGGAAGGUCCCCCACACUGGAACUGAGACACGGUCCAGACUCCUACGGGAGGCAGCAGUGAGGAAUAUUGGUCAAUGGGCGUAAGCCUGAACCAGCCAAGUAGCGUGCAGGAUGACGGCCCUAUGGGUUGUAAACUGCUUUUAUGCGGGGAUAAAGUGGCCCACGUGUGGGUUUUUGCAGGUACCGCAUGAAUAAGGACCGGCUAAUUCCGUG
rnacentral:rRNA from 1 species